GUACAUAUAGUAGGAUCUCCAAUCCUCUCAAAAGGUAUUUGAGUAUACUUAACAGAGGAUGUAAAAAAAAUCAUUUCUCAUGGAAGAUAGAAAACAUAGAGAUGAUCUCAGAACCUACAAUGAGACGAUGUGAGACAUCGGCUCCAAGAAAGGAUGUGAAAUAGCUUUUCUGAGUAGAGAACUUUUGAAGAUUUCUAUACGGAAUAGCCU
rnacentral:lncRNA from 1 species